UACGAAGGGGCUAGCGUUGUUCGGAUUUACUGGGCGUAAAGCGCACGUAGGCGGAUCGUUAAGUCGGGGGUGAAAUCCUGGAGCUCAACUCCAGAACUGCCUUCGAUACUGUAGAGCUUGAGACCGGAAGAGGUAAGUGGAACUGCGAGUGUAGAGGUGAAAUUCGUAGAUAUUCGCAAGAACACCAGUGGCGAAAGGCGGCUUACUGGUCCGGUUCUGACGCUGAGGCGCGAAAGCGUGGGGAG
rnacentral:rRNA from 1 species